rnacentral:rRNA from 1 species
AUUGAACGCUGGCGGCAUGCCUUACACAUGCAAGUCGAACGGCAGCACGGGAGCAAUCCUGGUGGCGAGUGGCGAACGGGUGAGUAAUGUGUCGGAACGUGCCCAUUCGUGGGGGAUAACGUAGCGAAAGCUACGCUAAUACCGCAUACGAUCUAUGGAUGAAAGCGGGGGAUCGCAAGACCUCGCGCGAUUGGAGCGGCCGAUAUCAGAUUAGGUAGUUGGUGGGGUAAAGGCUCACCAAGCCGACGAUCUGUAGCUGGUCUGAGAGGACGACCAGCCACACUGGGACUGAGACACGGCCCAGACUCCUACGGGAGGCAGCAGUGGGGAAUUUUGGACAAUGGGCGAAAGCCUGAUCCAGCCAUUCCGCGUGCAGGAUGAAGGCCCUCGGGUUGUAAACUGCUUUUGUACAGAACGAAAAGGUUUCUACUAAUACUAGGAGCUCAUGACGGUACUGUAAGAAUAAGCACCGGCUAACUACGUGCCAGCAGCCGCUGUAA